rnacentral:rRNA from 1 species
GACAGAGGGUGCAAACGUUGCUCGGAAUUACUGGGCGUAAAGCGCGUGUAGGCGGACUUGCAAGUCAGAUGUGAAAUCCCCGAGCUCAACUCGGGAACUGCAUUUGAAACUGCCUGUCUUGAGUAGUGGAGAGGAAAGCAGAAUUCCUGGUGUAGAGGUGAAAUUCGUAGAUAUUAGGAAGAACACCGGUGGCGAAGGCGGCCCACUGGUCCGGUACUGACGCUGAGGUGCGAAAGCGUGGGGAGCAAACAGG